CUAAAGGGUUGUCGAAGACUACGACGUUGAUAGGCACGGUGUGGAAGUCCAGUAAUGGAUGUAGCUAACGUGUACUAAUUGCCCGUGAGGCUUGACCAU
rnacentral:rRNA from 1 species